rnacentral:lncRNA from 1 species
UAUUUUAGUUAAUUAAACAAAAUUUUUAUUAAACUUUAUACAAAUUUGACCAAAUUCAAUCAUUAUAAUUAUUUUUUAUGAAAUAAAAUUAAAUAACUAAUUACUAACAAUUAAUAUAUCUAUUAAAUUUGCUAAAUUUUUUAUUUAAAUAACAUUUUUAAAAUUAUUUUAAUAGUUUUUCCUAAUUUCUUUUCCCACUUACGCCUUUUUUAAAUAAUUAUCACUAGAAAAAAUUUGAAUAAAAACUGUGUGAAGACCCCCUCAACUAUAAGGAUGCUUUGAAAUACAACCCUCAAAUUUAUUUUUUAACUGAUUUUUAUAUUUUUUAUUUUUUAUGAUUAAUUUUAGUUAUUUAAACAAAAUUUUUAUUAAACUUUAUACAAAAUUUGACCAAAUUCAAUCAUUAUUAUUCUUUUUUAUGAAAUAAAAUUAUAUAACUAAUAACUAAUAGUUAAUACAUCUAUAAAAUUUACUAAGUUUUUAAUUUAUAUAAAAUGUUUAAAAAUUAUUUUAGUAGUUUUUCCUUUUUUUUCCACAUUUGCCUUUUUAAAUUAAUUUAAUUACCAAUAAGUUCUUACAAAAAAUUAUGUCACACAUAAACCAAUUUAAACUAUUUUUUUAAAAUUAUUUAUUAAAUUAUUGGCCAAUUUGCAUAAAAAAAUCAUUAAUUUUGGGCUUUUGCAAAAGUAGGUCGCCUUUUUGGAUUUUGCAGAUUCAAAUCGGAUUUUCAGAAAACUGACCAAAAUAUCCUUAUUUUCUUUUCUCUCUCCUCUUUGUUUCUCUCAUUUUUUUUUUCUUUCUCUCCCUA